GAAGAGGAUUUGCACAUAAUCAACACUUGUUAACUACUAACAUGAUAUUAUUUAUCUGCCCCCUUUCCUCUGAAUCUGGUAAAAUCUAAACUAGCUUUUGAGAAGUCGACCCGGAUGAUAUUAGUUUGAUUUUUUCUUUUUGGGAAAUAUUAGUUUGACUAUAUUGAAGAUGGGUUUUUCUUAAUUCUUGAGGGAUCGGCAAAUUACUCAUAUAUAUUGAUAUCAGUUUGCUUGUAAUGAUUUCUCAGCUUACCAUGCUAUUUGCCUUUGUUUAUCAGUAAUUCAAAAUCAAGGAUAACAUUGUUCUCAAGAUUGUUUUGCCAUGGAAGUGUUUACUUCUUGGGGUUGACUCUCAAUGUCUCAGCAAUGAAACUUUGUUUGUCCAUAGAUAAAUAUCCAUUCGAAAGAUUGAAUUUUCAAAAUCUGUGUUGUCAAGCAGAAUGUGAAACAGGGUGCCAGAGUGAACAAGAUUGGUUAUUACAUAACUCAUUGUGUACGUUGACGAUUUUGCAGUCAUGGUAGGCUUUCUGGUUAUAUCAUUCAUGUCACAAGUUAAAACAAUAUACUGUGAUCUUUUUUAAUCUGAUAACUUCAUCCUUACUUUUCAACCAUCCUUACUUUUCAAUGUUAAUUUGAUACCACUCUUUAUGAAGAUCUGAAAAUGACAAUUUAUGUUAUUACAAGCAUGGUGCAUGUUGCUUCUUAUUCAUCUUCAAUCUAGUUCACUGGAUUCAUUUGUCACGAAAGAAAUAAGGACGGUCAGUAAUGGGUUUUAUGAAGAUGUAACAUACUGGCUUGCAUAGCUUGCCGGAUACAUCCAAUGGUUUAUUUGAUGAACUUCAUAGAUGGCUUUUGAUGACUGAAUCAUGUCAUUUAGCAUGACUUAAGCCUGUGGUUAGAACCUUUUAUUCUGACAAAAAUCAUCAGAUCAGAAUAAACUCAUCAAUUGCAGCUCUAUAAAUUUGAU
rnacentral:misc_RNA from 1 species